rnacentral:rRNA from 1 species
UACGUAGGGUGCAAGCGUUGUCCGGAAUUAUUGGGCGUAAAGAGCUCGUAGGCGGUCUGUCGCGUCGGCUGUGAAAUCCCGGAGCUCAACUCCGGGUCUGCAGUCGAUACGGGCAAACUGGAGUACUGCAGGGGAGACUGGAAUUCCUGGUGUAGCGGUGAAAUGCGCAGAUAUCAGGAGGAACACCGGUGGCGAAGGCGGGUCUCUGGGCAGCAACUGACGCUGAGGAGCGAAAGCGUGGGGAGCGAACAGG